AACGAACGCUGGCGGCAUGCCUAACACAUGCAAGUCGAACGAAGGCUUCGGCCUUAGUGGCGCAUGGGUGCGUAACGCGUGGGAAUCUGCCCUUGGGUUCGGAAUAACAGCGGGAAACUGCUGCUAAUACCGGAUGAUGACGUAAGUCCAAAGAUUUAUCGCCCAAGGAUGAGCCCGCGUAGGAUUAGCUAGUUGGUGGGGUAAAGGCCCACCAAGGCGACGAUCCUUAGCUGGUCUGAGAGGAUGAUCAGCCACACUGGGACUGAGACACGGCCCAGACUCGGAAGAGUGGCAGCAGUGGGGAAUAUGGGACAAUGGGCGAAAGACGAAGGCAGCAAGGCCGGAAGAGUGAUGAAGGGGUUAGGGAUGUAAAGCUCUUUUACCCGGGAUGAUAAGGAGGGAACCGAGAGAAUAAGCUCCGGCUACCUCGGU
rnacentral:rRNA from 1 species